GCGGGAAGGGGAGGCAGUGCCGCAGGGGACGGGCUGCUUUACAGUCACUCAAGAGCGAAGCAUGUGGGCGAAGCCCUGGUUUCUGCGGGGAACGGCAGCCGCGCCAGGGUGAUGGAUGGUGCUGCGGAAUGUGCUCCAGCUGUCUCGCUCCGAGACGGCUCGAAACCCCGAGAACUGCUGGGUGUGAUAAAAUAGGCCACCGAAAAGGCAAUUAGUCCUUUUCCAGUUAAAAACAGCUUUAUUCUUUCUGAAUCCAGAGAGUUCAAUGAAGUGUCUGAAGUUUUCACAAGGGAGAAGAGCGCUGAAGUGUGUCCUCAUCCUCUCUUUCCCGGUACUGAUCUCUCUCAGCAUUCAGGAGCAAAAUCUGGAGAUCUCUCGUAUGGCAUUUCUGUGACUGUCACUGGAAGCUGAACCUCUGGAGUGAAAUAGUCCUGGAUGCAACCUCAGGUAGGAGCACCUUAUCUUUUACUCUCUGGACUAGCUACCCUGUUAGCUAGCGGUGGGGUUAACGUGCGUGAUCAGCUCUGCUAAGCCACUCCAUUUAUUCCAGGAGCGUAUUAGCCCUGGGAAACGUCACCCCCUCUUCAUCUCUGGCUGUUGAAGUGAGCCUAGCUCUCUCCCCACCCCGCUUUCGCCCGCUCCCGGAGAGCCCUGCAAAGCCCCUUGCCAGCCCCUGAAAAGCUUGCUCAGAUUCUGCUGGGCCUGAGGCGCAAGACCUGGUGCCAAGGCAAAGACUAACACCUAUUUCUGUGUAACGGGAGAGAAACGAGGCCGUAGCCAUAGGUCUGUGCACUGUGGAAGCACAAAUACAGAACUGCACGUGUGAAGGAAGCCCAGAAGAGAGACUUUGCUGGGUAAUUCUCAGCUCUGGCAUUCAUUAAAGUGUGCAGGGUUUAAAGCUCAGAGAAAUGCUAAUCUCACGUAUAAAAAUCCGUGAACAUUUGUUUUUUUCUUUACCUUCAGUUCUGUAGAAAUGUGAGGGUUGACAUCCCCGUGUAUGCAUAUGCACUAGCUGCAAACCCCCAAAGACAGCAGAUGCUGCUUUGGAGAAAGCCCAGCUCUGAAAUAAAAUAUUAAAUAUUUAUAGAUCAGAGCUGAACUGCUUCGUUGUCCAGGUACUUGAGGGGAAAUCUGUCCUGGAGCUGUGAGAGGGAAGCAUUAGCGGAGGGCAGGGUGAAGCCCAGCAGAGCGCUUUCUGGAAUGGAAGAGCGAGCCUUGACACCGCGCCAAGGCCCAAGCCCUGCGGGGGGUGUGAUGCUGCAUCUCCGUGGCCGGUCGCCAAAGCAGGGCUGGCAAUAUGUUGCUUAAUGCUUUGGUGACUGGAAAAUAAACGUGUUACUGAUUCCUCCUGUUUAAAAAGAAGUUUAGCAAGUUAAAAUAGGACAAUAGGAGAUGGCAGAUAACAUCCGAAUUGUCAUUUUUUGUUUCUCCCAUUCUCGUUUGUAGACUUCUUGGUUUACUGGUCCUUAGUAGAGCGGUUGCUACGGAAUCGGUAUAAUGAUAAUUUUAGUUUACCUGCACAUAAAAUGUACAAAAAUAUCUGUAACUCUCUUCACAAUGUGGCCAGUAUAGAUCUAUUAGGACAAGGCGUCCUAUUUCUAAAAGCAAUGAUUUAAAUAAACUUCAGCAUUUCAGAGCUGGGCAUGUAUUGCUUGUAAUAAUUUUAGCACUUCAGGUUCAGCAUCAAUAGUGCUGUUUAUAAUUUAAAUGACUGUGAGGAGAAUCCAGUAAUAAGCACCAAAAUGUCUUGGCUAAUUUUUAGAAGCUCUGUGUACAUGUUCCUUUGGCAGGGUGUGGGGAAAGGAGAACGAUUGUAAGGAGGAGGGAAAAAUUGUCUGUGUAUUUGCUUUCCCUGUGAUUUCUUCUCUUAUGGUUUCAGACCAGUUUUGCUCGCUCUCUCCAGCUCUCCUCCCUCUUGGUCCAUCCAGGUAGAAUGAGGAAAUUUCCUCUACGGGUCUGACAUGCCAGAGGCAACGGUAGGAGAGCGGCAUUCGCAAAACACUGAUUUAACAUUCCUAUUUUGCUUUUCCUUUUUAAGAGAGUGUGUUGUGGUAAAACAGCUCUGGGUGUCUAGAUGACUUGCUUUUUCUUUGAACCAGUCCUGCUUUGGGAUGGACUAGCCCUGAUGGGAUUGCCCGAUGUUCUCCAGAAACGGUGCUGGACCCGUCCCUUCCAUACUGCUUGCCUGGAGAAGCUGUUGUGCGUCGUGCUCUGCUUCGUGCCGUGACUGGUUGGGGCCAUUUCGUUUGUUCUGGGGCAGUUUUGUUCCACUAAGCCUUAGUUAGGACCCCAUUUUUUAUGAUUAGUGUGAACUUCUGGUAUGAAGCCCCAAAAUCUUGGGUGGCAGCAGCCUUACAUCUAUUUCUCAGCUUUGAGCACGGGCUGAUGUAGUCCAAGGCUCAUCCUUGAGCACGUGGGAUCACGAUGAAGAAGAGGCAAUGGAUAACACAGCUAACUCGUGCCCUGUGGUCGAAGCGGUCGCAGCCUGGCACACGUGGGUAGGUCCCGGCUGCAGCAGGUCUGCGGCUGAGCACACGCGGGCAAGGGCCAGGCCCUGCACGCUGGGAGCCAUCAGGCAGGAAUUAACCAUCAGAUUUCUCCAGUGUGUGAUGGGGUUUGGUUUGUUUCAGGUACCUAAGAACUGGAAAUGAAUUUUGUUCUCAUUCCUCCAUGCCUGAAAACAUGUGGGGGCUGGGUCUAUUUGUCUUCAUUUUAGAAAUGCUCUUUUUUUGUGUGUUUUUUAAUCAAUGACUUUAAUGAGGAGAAGAGCCAGACUCCGUAACCAGCACUAACAGAGAUUUCAUCAGUUAUUUUGAUAAAGAUGAAGAUGGGUGUUUGGACCUGAAGGUUUCUCUUGGGGGAGUCUGGCUGCCCCUGGGUUGGAAGAGUCUUGGCGUUCCCGCUAUCCCAGUAGCUGCUGUCGGAUGGGAGGGAAGCUGCGAGGUUCGUUGCUGCUCUCGGAGGUGGGGAGCUGCUUCCUGGACGUUUUUGAAAGGCAUUAAUUCCUUUUAUGUAGUUUAAGCUUUACUCUGUUUGCCAGUUUCAAUUUAAAGGAAGUGCUGGGUGAUCCCGAUGGCCGGAAUGCGGGCGCAGGUUAACAGCCAGCUUUCCCAACACUUUCCAUUUCAAAAUACGAAACCGGAUCUUGCAGAAACAACCAGAAUUGCACUUCAAGUACUUCCUAGUUCUGACUAGACAAACCUGUAAUUUUUUCAAUUUCAUUUCCAUUUCCUUUUAUAUCUGGAAUACCUUCAAAGAAGGAAAAAAGGCACCGAUAAGGUUUAGAUAUCAGAUAAGAAACUUGAAAUAGGUUUUCGGGAGCAGGCACGCAUAACCUCCAUCGUUCCCCUGCAGCUAUGUAGGCCAGCUGUUUUUCUGCCUUUCUCAGCCAUUUGUGAGUACCAUAAAGGGGUGAGAAAGGUUUGAAGGAUAAAAAUAGAAACAUCUCACAGCUUCCCAGUCCCGCUUCAGUUCCUCACGUUUCGUGGGUAACCCAACGUGGUUCUUUGAGUUCCCAGGUGAGGCCGGGCUGCUGACUGUAAAAGUACUGUCGCUGUGUGUUGUAGGAACGCUGUGUUUUUAAAAGCAAAAGUAUGCUUAAGUAGCAAAUGCAUCUGUCUAACAGUGCUAAAUUUUCACUGAAGUCAGUGGGCGAGGUCAGGUCCGGAGCUAUAUAUUUGCCAGCACAAGCAGGCUCUUACCCAGUGAUUAACCGCAGCGGCAAAGCUGGCAGCGGGCACGAUUCUGUGGUGUUUUCCCAAACGAAUCCACGGGAUGCUGAUCCCUCAUUACCUUAAGGGGUCAUGAAACUACAUUUAAGUCCAGUUGCUGUUUGUUACCCCUCUUCUCCAUUACAGAAACAUCCUGUUCAGGUGCGUGCGCGACCCAAGCAGCGGCAGCACGCGCAGCCAACCACCCACCCGGGCUUCAGGGAGACCCUGGCUGUUCCCUCCCAGCAAACCCAUCGCCUGAGAAUAGGAAAUACCACCCCUUUAGAGGUUGUCAAGUGAUUUGCUGACACCAGUCACAAACAUUCCUGAGACUCCUGGGUGUAACGUGUCCCCUUGUUUGCAUGCACGGGGUGGUGGGACCAGGCGGGGUCGGUACCUGGGUGGGUAAAUGCGUUGGGAGGAGCAUUAGGACGAUGCUGCUCCUGGUCACACCAAUACCCUUAUGGCAAAGACUUCUAGACAUCAUUUGAUCUCAGUGCCUCUACGAUAUAACUUUUAAUUGUGAUCUAAGUACUGAAAUACUCAAAACACUGCGCGAUGACUACAUGGCUUGAUUUUUCUUCUGGGAGUGCACAGCCUGUGGAUGAGAUGGAGUUAAGCUGUGCAGCACAGCUAUGCUUCUGAAUGGGAAUGAAGGUGUUUGUUUUAUUUUCAUGAAAUGACUUUAUAAAAAGUAGAACUGCAUUAAAAUUAACAGAGCGGGGUUUUAAUCCUCUGAUAAGUUGCCCGGCUAGAAAUGCGACGUGGGGUGGCUGAGGCGGGGACGUGCAGCGCGCACCUCUGGAAAGAGCGAAUGCUGCUGCGGAUCGGGUGCCUGCGGGUGCCCCCUGCAUCCCCCCAAGGAAGGGAAGCGAGGAGCUCAUCGAGGGCAGGGAGCAGCUUAACUCCUUGGAAAAGCUCAAGCUGAUGCCUUCAACCAGCCGACAUCUGUAAGGGUGAGCAGUGCCCCUCGCCUGGCAGACAUCGGGGGAGCUUAGGGAAGAGAAAAGGACCCAGUAAGCACAACCCAGUGGGACAGCAAAAGGUUUGAUAAAUGUUUUAUGUAAAGAACAAAAAUAAAUACUUAUGAUAAUCAGGACAAAGCCCUGGUUUUGAUGAGAAAUGAGUCGCCCUAUAUUAUUCCCGUCACCUGAGAACGCCUCCCAGGCAGGAGCCGGUCCUUGACGCGGUGCUGCAAACAAAGCAGGGGAGUUGUUCCGAGUCUGCUUCAUAGAGAGAAAAACAGAAGCAAGAAAGGUGAAUAAUUGGCACAAAGUCAGGGGCGCUGGAGGGGAGCAGGGCUGGGGACUCUGUGCGGGCAUUGCCCAGCAGAGCCCAAACGCGCGGCGGUGGCUGCGGGUGCCGGUACC